rnacentral:rRNA from 1 species
GAUGAACGCUGGCGGCGUGCUUAACACAUGCAAGUCGAACGGAAAGGCUCCUGCUUGCAGGGGUACUCGAGUGGCGAACGGGUGAGUAACACGUGGGUGAUCUGCCCUGCACUUCGGGAUAAGCCUGGGAAACUGGGUCUAAUACCGGAUAGGACGAUGGUUUGGAUGCCAUUGUGGAAAGUUUUUCGGUGUGGGAUGAGCUCGCGGCCUAUCAGCUUGUUGGUGGGGUAAUGGCCUACCAAGGCGUCGACGGGUAGCCGGCCUGAGAGGGUGUACGGCCACAUUGGGACUGAGAUACGGCCCAGACUCCUACGGGAGGCAGCAGUGGGGAAUAUUGCACAAUGGGCGCAAGCCUGAUGCAGCGACGCCGCGUGGGGGAUGACGGCCUUCGGGUUGGAAACUCCUUUCGCUAGGGACGAAGCGUUUUGUGACGGUACCUGGAGAAGAAGCACCGGCUAACUACGUG